GAAAUCCAGACAAAUUUUCUUCAUUUUUUAAUGUCACUCCUCAUCUCUUGUUUUAAUCACAGAUUAGGCGGUAUAAAAUUUAGUCCUUAAAUGCAGAAAAGCAAAAUACCUACUGCACUUUUCUCUCACUCCAUACAUUGAUUUCUGUUUCAAAUUCCAUUCUUGCCAAGCCUCCCCCACUUUUCCCUGAGCUGCAUCAAAUCCUCACCAUCAUCUAGCCCCAGCGGCAUCGGCUGAGACCUUCAUCCUGAUUGUUCCUUAGGUGCUGUUUAGUGCCAGCCACUGAAGAAAACCCCCUUGUUUCCACCCACGUGGCCCCAUCUGGUUUCAGGGCCUCCUCUGUGCUAUUUUGGGGUGUGAGGAGAUCAUUUUUCAACGCCCACAGUGUGCGGGGGCUGGGAACUCUGCAUCCUCCCCAAUACUUUUCGUGCUGCUAUUUCUUCUCAGGGUCUUGCCUCCUUUCCCAAGCUCAGCCUAUGGAGUAAAGCGCAGACCCAUCGCUCGGAGACAAGGUCCAUUAUAUUGCCCAGGCUGGUCUCAAACUCCUGGGCUCAAGUGAUCCUCCCACCUUGGCCUCCCAAAAUGCCGGAAUUACAGUUAUUGCUUGAUGGAUUCUGCUAACUCCCAGGAGAAUCCAAGUGG